rnacentral:lncRNA from 1 species
CGUGGAUCCUUUAUGGAAUGUGAUUUAAGAAACUUCAUAAAGAUGUUUCUGGGAGCAGUGAAGUCUUCAAAGGAAAAUUCUUGGGAAGUUGGAAACCUGGUGGGAGGGAAGAUGUAAUCUUUUUCUCAUUUCAGAUGAACUUCUGCCUUCCUACAUGUGAACUUCAAAGCCUUUGAUAGUCAUGAAGCAUCAGAGGAGCCUUUAUGCUAAGUAAAACCUGUGUGAAAAGAGCGCUGCUUCUGAUCCCAUCAGGAGCUGCUAUAUAUUUCACUCCUUCUUAUGUUUUUCAUCCUCUCAGCCUGGAUAAAGCAGUCAGUCUGCAUUUGUUUGGGUGGUCAUGGCCAUACCUUUACUAUGCUGUGCGCUGUCAGAGUGGAGAAGCUGCAGCCUAACAGGACAGGCCGUGGUGUAGCCAGAGGAAGUGCUGAAGUAGUACAGGCACCUCAAGAGAAAAUGCCUAUGAAGAGCAAGCAAAUAGCAUUGGGGACYUUGCUGGGAGAAGGCACAUAGUGUUGAAAAGUGAAUUCCUCUUGAUGUGAAUGGAAUGUAAUUUUUGACCUUGCCCUGAAGAGAGUCACUUUCUGCAAGGAUGAGCUGAACUAUGGACUGAGGCAAGUGGAACCAUUUUUUUCAUUUUUUUUUAAGCUUCAUGUCUGGGUCGUUACCUUUAUACAAUGG